GAUGAACGCUGGCGGCGUGCCUAAUACAUGCAAGUCGAGCGAACAGACGAGGAUCUUGCUCCUCUUACGUUAGCGGCGGACGGGUGAGUAACACGUGGAUAACCGACCGAUAAGACUGGGAUAACUUCGGGAAACCUGAUCUAAUACCGGAUAAUAUAGUGAACCGCAUGGUUCAAUAGUGAAAGACGGUUUUGCUGUCACUUAUAGAUGUAUCCGCGCCGCAUUAGCUAGUUGGUAAGGUAACGGCUUACCAAGGCGACGAUGCGUAGCCGACCUGAGAGGGUGAUCGGCCACACUGGAACUGAGACACGGUCCAGACUCCUACGGGAGGCAGCAGUAGGGAAUAUUCCGCAAUGGGCGAAAGCCUGACGGAGCAACGCCGCGUGAGUGAUGAAGGUCUUCGGAUCGUAAAACUCUGUUAUUAGGGAAGAACAAAUGUGUAAGUAACUAUGCACGUCUUGACGGUACCUAAUCAGAAAGCCACGGCUAACUACGUG
rnacentral:rRNA from 1 species